rnacentral:rRNA from 1 species
UACGUAGGGACCGAGCGUUGUCCGGAUUCAUCGGGCGUAAAGAGCUCGUAGGCGGCUGUUCAAGUCGAACGUGAAAACUCGGAGCUCAACUCCGAGCCUGCGUUCGAUACUGGACGGCUAGAGUCUGGUAGGGGGAUCUGGAAUUCCUGGUGUAGCGGUGGAAUGCGCAGAUAUCAGGGAGGAACACCGGUGGCGAAGGCGGCCUGCUGGGCAGUUGCUGACACUGAGGCGCGACGAGCGUGGGGAGCAAACAGG